rfam:Pan troglodytes isolate Yerkes chimp pedigree #C0471 (Clint) chromosome X, whole genome shotgun sequence.
GCCAGGCAUGGUGGUGCAUGCCUGCAAUCCCAGCUACUUGGGAGGCUGAGGCACGAGAACUGCUUGAACCCAGGAGGCGGAGGUUGCAGUGAGCCUUGAUUGUGACACUGCACUCCAGCCUGGGUGACAGAGCAAGACCGUGUCUCAA